rnacentral:rRNA from 1 species
UACGUAGGAGGCAAGCGUUGUCCGGAAUUACUGGGCGUAAAGCGCGCGUAGGCGGCUUUGCAAGUCGAUUGUGAAAUCCCCAGGCUUAACCUGGGAACUGCAUUCGAGACUGCAUAGCUAGAGUAUGGGAGAGGGAAGUGGAAUUUCAGGUGUAGCGGUGAAAUGCGUAGAUAUCUGAAGGAACAUCAGUGGCGAAAAGCGACUUCCUGGACCAAUACUGACGCUCAUGUGCGAAAGCGUGGGGAGCAAACAGG